UGAAUUAUCGUACGCGUGGGAGA
rnacentral:piRNA from 1 species